UACAAAGGAAGUUGACGGGGAGCACCACAACGGUGGAGCUUGCGGUUUAAUUGGUAUUCAACGCCGGAAAUCUUACCGGGACCGACAGACAAUAUGAAGGCCAGGCUGAAGACUUUGCCGGAUUAGCUGAGAGGUGGUGCAUGGCCGUCGUCAGUUCGUACUGUGAAGCAUCCUGUUAAGUCAGGCAACGAGCGAGACCCACGCCCACAGUUGCCAGCGUACUCUCUGGAGUGACGGGUACACUGUGGGGACCGCCGCUGCUAAAGCGGAGGAAGGAAUGGGCAACGGUAGGUCAGUAUGCCCCGAAUAUCCCGGGCUACACGCGAGCUACAAUGGUUGGUACAAUGGGUAUCUACCCCGAAAGGGGACGGGAAUCUCCUAAAACCAAUCUUAGUUCGGAUUGAGGGCUGCAACUCGCCCUCAUGAAGCUGGAAUCCGUAGUAAUCGCGUUUCAACAGAACGCGGUGAAUACGUCCCUGCUCCUU
rnacentral:rRNA from 1 species